AACUCCCAAACCAUUGUGGACGAACCUGACAGUUGCUUCGGCAGGUCGGCUUCCCGCCGCGCGGUGGCUCCUCGUGAGCCCGCCUGCCGGAGUCACAUAAACUCUUGAUUAUUGUUGACAUCUCUGAGUAAUUUACUUAAUAAGUCAAAACUUUCAACAACGGAUCUCUUGGUUCUGGCAUCGAUGAAGAACGCAGCGAAAUGCGAUAAGUAAUGUGAAUUGCAGAAUUCAGUGAAUCAUCGAAUCUUUGAACGCACAUUGCGCCCGCCAGUAUUCUGGCGGGCAUGCCUGUUCGAGCGUCAUUUCAACCAUCAAGCCUUAGGCUUGUGUUGGAGCCCUGCGGCUGUCCGCAGGCCCCUAAAUAUAGUGGCGGGCUCGCUAUCACACCGAGUGCAGUAGUUUUCUUUCUCGCUCAGGGCGUGUAGUGGGUGCUAGCCGUGAAACCCCCUUUUCUCACAAGGUUGACCUCGGAUCAGGUAGGAAUACCCGCUGAACUUAAGCAUAUCAAUAAGCGGAGGAA
rnacentral:rRNA from 1 species